CUAAUAUACCCUGUCACUAUAGAUUGGCUUUGCUUGGUUUUGAACUUGACAUACAUGGCAUCACACAGCAUCUGCUCUUUUUUUUUUUUUUUUUUUUGAGAUGGAGUCUCACUCUGUUGUCCAGGCUGGAGUGCAGUGGUGCGAUCUCGGCUCACUGCAAGCUCUGCCUCCUGGGUUCACACCAUUCUCCUGCCUCAGCCUCCUGAGUAGCUGGGACCACAGGCGCCCACCACCACGCCCAGCUAAUUUUUUUUUUGUAUUUUUAGUAGAGACAGGGUUUCACCGUGUUAGCCAGGAUGGUCUCGAUCUCCUGACCUCGUGAUCUGCCUGCCUCGGCCUCCCAAAGUGCUGGGAUUACAGGUGUGAGCCACCGCGCCCGGCCAGCAUCUGCUCUUUUCUGUGUGGCUUCCUUCACUUAGCUAUGCCGCUGAAACUAAUUCAUGUUGUUGCAGCCAUCAGGAGUUCAUUCUUUUUCGUUGCUGUGUGCUAUGGACUGAAUAUUUGUGUUCCUCUCUAAUUCAUGUCUUGAAGCCUAAAUCCUCAUGUGAUAGUAUCAGGAGGUCAUGAGAACAGAGCCUUUAUGAAUGGGAUUAGUGCACUUACAAGGGGAUGAAGAGACCAG
rnacentral:lncRNA from 1 species